CUUUGGACAAAUAACUGGGAGGACACAUUUUGACCAGCACAAUUCUCAGCCCUGAGAAGGACCCUCACACAGAGGAGUAACAGUAAGGAUGAAAUCACUGUGCCUACUCUUGGGCCUCUUGGCCCUUCAAGCCUGUUUCUCGCCUGGUGAGAGUCACAGACACCACAGGAGACCACGUCCACCACCACUGCGUCUUCCUGUACCUCCAGAACCUACUAGUUUUGGCC